rnacentral:rRNA from 1 species
GACGAACGCUGGCGGCGUGCCUAAUACAUGCAAGUAGAACGCUGAAGAGAGGAGCUUGCUCUUCUUGGAUGAGUUGCGAACGGGUGAGUAACGCGUAGGUAACCUGCCUUGUGGCGGGGGAUAACUAUUGGAAACGAUAGCUAAUACCGCAUAACAAUGGAUGACACAUGUCAUUUAUUUGAAAGGGGCAAUUGCUCCACUACAAGAUGGACCUGCGUUGUAUUAGCUAGUAGGUGAGGUAAUGGCUCACCUAGGCGACGAUACAUAGCCGACCUGAGAGGGUGAUCGGCCACACUGGGACUGAGACUCGGCCCAGACUCCUACGGGAGGCAGCAGUAGGGAAUCUUCGGCAAUGGGGGCAACCCUGACCGAGCAACGCCGCGUGAGUGAAGAAGGUUUUCGGAUCGUAAAGCUCUGUUGUAAGUCAAGAACGGGUGUGAGAGUGGAAAGUUCACACUGUGACGGUAGCUUACCAGAAAGGGACGGCUAACUACGUG